rnacentral:lncRNA from 1 species
GGGAUUUAUAGGAAUCUUGGAGCUGGCACGGGGAGAGGAAGCUGACAUGUCACUUUGGAAACAAUCUUUAACUUUGGAAAUGCAAAAUGACCUCUUCUGAUAUAUUGAUUAAAGCCUAGCUUCUUAGAUAAUAAUUUUGUGCUAAAAUCAGGUUUCUUUUCAAGUUUCAAGUCUUCGGAUCCAACAUGCAGUUUUCUUCAUGUCCUUGUUGCUGUUUAACUCUUAGGCUGUAUGGAAACUUACUGAGAUAUGUCGAUUGUCUGAAACGCUAGUAGAUGACCUGAGUGAAUGGGAAGUAGCAUGACUACUGGACAGAGAGCUGAGCGUCACCGCAAUGUCUUCCUCAAGGACCUGGGAGCCAUCUCUUUGAAACUUCCAGACAAUGUGGAGAUACUGUGUGAGACCUCUGUCAAAGGCGGAAUGCUUCACUCUACGAGCAAUCCAGCACCUCUGAGCUGACAUGAUCCCCUUGGUGGAGGGGAUGCCCAAAGAGUGCCUGCCACACGCACAGCCGAGAUUCACGGGUGUGACCAGGCUAGUGCUUCCAAGGACAGAGACGUUCUGGCCUCCUGACGUCUGGAGUCUGAGGUGACAUCCAAUCACAACUUUCUCACCUUAUGCAAGACUGCCUUUUUAAUUCUCUAAUGGAAACAUUACCCAGGAAAGAAGCAUAAUUUCA